rnacentral:rRNA from 1 species
GAUGAACGCUAGCGGCAGGCUUAACACAUGCAAGUCGAGGGGUAACAGGGAGCUUGCUCCGCUGACGACCGGCGCACGGGUGCGUAACGCGUAUAGAACCUACCUUUUACUGAGGGAUAGCCUUUAGAAAUGAAGAUUAAUACCUCAUGGUAUUGUAAACUGGCAUCGGUUUAUAAUUAAAGAUUUAUUGGUAAAAGAUGGCUAUGCGUCCUAUUAGCUAGAUGGUAAGGUAACGGCUUACCAUGGCAACGAUAGGUAGGGGCCCUGAGAGGGGGAUCCCCCACACUGGUACUGAGACACGGACCAGACUCCUACGGGAGGCAGCAGUGAGGAAUAUUGGGCAAUGGAGGCAACUCUGACCCAGCCAUGCCGCGUGCAGGAAGACUGCCCUAUGGGUUGUAAACUGCUUUUAUACAGGAAGAAACACACCUACGUGUAGGUGCUUGACGGUACUGUAAGAAUAAGCACCGGCUAACUCCGUGCCAGCAGCCCCGGUAAUACGGAGGGUGCAAGCGUUAUCCGGAAUCAUUGGGUUUAAAGGGUCCGCAGGCGGUCAAUUAAGUCAGAGGUGAAAUCCCAUAGCUUAACUAUGGAACUGCCUUUGAUACUGGUUGACUUGAGUUAUACGGAAGUAGAUAGAAUAAGUAGUGUAGCGGUGAAAUGCAUAGAUAUUACUUAGAAUACCGAUUGCGAAGGCAGUCUACUACGUAUAUACUGACGCUCAUGGACGAAAGCGUGGGGAGCGAACAGGAUUAGAUACCCUGGUAGUCCACGCCGUAAACGAUGGACACUAGUUGUUGGAAUUAUUCAGUGACUAAGCGAAAGUGAUAAGUGUCCCACCUGGGGAGUACGAUCGCAAGAUUGAAACUCAAAGGAAUUGACGGGGGCCCGCACAAGCGGUGGAGCAUGUGGUUUAAUUCGAUGAUACGCGAGGAACCUUACCAGGGCUUAAAUGUAGGUUGCAU